UACAGAGGGGGCAAGCGUUGUUCGGAAUUACUGGGCGUAAAGGGCGCGUAGGCGGCGUGCUAAGUCGAACGUGAAAUCCCCGGGCUCAACCCGGGAACUGCGUCCGAGACUGGCAUGCUUGAAUCCGGGAGAGGGAUGCGGAAUUCCAGGUGUAGCGGUGAAAUGCGUAGAUAUCCGGAGGAACACCGAUGGCGAAAGCAGCUUUCUGGCCCGAUACUGACGCUCAUGCCCGAAAGCGUGGGGAGCAAACAGG
rnacentral:rRNA from 1 species